AGAGUUUGAUCCAUGGCUCAGAAUGAACGCUGGCGGCAUGCCUAACACAUGCAAGUCGAACGAAGGCUUCGGCCUUAGUGGCGCACGGGUGCGUAACGCGUGGGAAUCUGCCCUUGGGUUCGGAAUAACAGUUAGAAAUGACUGCUAAUACCGGAUGAUGUCGUAAGACCAAAGAUUUAUCGCCCAAGGAUGAGCCCGCGUAGGAUUAGCUAGUUGGUGAGGUAAAAGCUCACCAAGGCGACGAUCCUUAGCUGGUCUGAGAGGAUGAUCAGCCACACUGGGACUGAGACACGGCCCAGACUCCUACGGGAGGCAGCAGUGGGGAAUAUUGGACAAUGGGCGAAAGCCUGAUCCAGCAAUGCCGCGUGAGUGAUGAAGGCCUUAGGGUUGUAAAGCUCUUUUACCCGGGAUGAUAAUGACAG
rnacentral:rRNA from 1 species